UAAUAGGAGCCAGGGCCUGGGUUUACUAUUGUGUCUGUCUGAGUGUUGUUUUUGUUUAUGAGUAGCAAGCCUAACUGGGAUACAUCACAAACAGAAGCAAGUGGGUUGAGAUUGUUGCUGUACUGCUAGAGUCAUGAUGGAGAUGGAGUUUUUUCUUCAAGUAAUUUGUGUUACAAAAACGAGGUGUUCAAAAUAACGACACCAUUUAAACAGCCAGGAAAUUGGUUCAUUGCAUUUUGAGAGGACAUCAGCAGAAAUUGUGCAACUCCACCAAGAUCUCACUCUCUAUAAGGAAUGCAGAACAGAAUGGAAGGGACAAGAGCUCUCUGGCUGUUUGGGAUGCUGUUACUCCGCCACAUCAAGGCAGAUGAUUCUGUUCCAACUUGGGAGCCCAACCAAACCACGAAUGAUCACACAAACUCUUUUGAGGAGGACAACAACGGCACACGGGCAGACUGUUUUGUUGACACUGAGAUGGGUUUGAUUGCUAUAGGUUCAGCAGGUGGUCUGAUUGUUUGCCUAUUGGUUGCCACUGUGGUGCUGGCAUGCCAAGUCUGCCACAUUCGGCGCCAGGUCUAUGCUCCACAAGUCUCCCACUCCAAUAUGUACUUGGUGAGUAGCACAGACUACUGGGAUACUAACACGCCUGAGAUUGAAGGACUGGUUGGGCCAUGUGAUACCAGUGUCAUGCUGGAGGAGGUGAGAGCAGACACCACAAUACAGGAAGAGAAACAAGUUGAAAUGCACAGGGAAGAGGAGGGGGCUCGGGUAGAAACUGAAUAUGGGGGAAGAGCUUUUAAUCCUGAGGCUAGUGAUGGUCAGAUGCUGAGCUCAAGCUCAAAAGACUGAGCUUGAUAUUUCAAGUGACUUUGGUAAACUGCAGCACCCGAGAGUCCUUUCAGUUCAGCAGAACUUUAACAAGAUGUGUUUAGUUCCGCUAACCAUGACUAGAAAAAAGGAAAAACUGCCUCAUACAACCAGGCAAUGAUGCCAUCAAAACUCCUUUGGCACAUGCAACCAGCAUUAAAAGACAAGAGUUUUUUGAUAGAAAUUUUUUUUUAAAUGACACCAUGAUGGGAUAGGUGUUACGGAAAAGUCUGUGACAUGUCAGAAUUUGUUACCCCAGGGGGCGAUUUAGCCCAUAGCAUGUGUUUGAGAGUUGGACAGCAAAAGAGAAGAGAAUACAGUGGACCCCCGCAUAAUCAGUGAUUCACCUACUUGCAAAUUGUUUUUCAUAUUUUCUUUUUCUUUCGUUUAUUUUCAUUUAUUCUUUUUUGGGGGGGGAAACACUUGUUGGUUGAUCUAUCUAUCUAUAUAUAUAUUAUACACACACACACACACACACACAUCGACAUGCCUUUUCAACUGUGUUAGUCCAUUCUACAUACAGCCACACAAGUUCAUAGUACUACCAUUUUCUUUUGUUUUAAAAUUGGUUUAAUACAUCUGCGAUUGGCUGGUGACCAGUUCAGGGUGUACCCCGCCUCUCGCCCGAAGAUAGCUGGGAUAGGAUCCAACACGCCCACAACUGUAGUGAGGAUAAGCGGUUUGGAAAAUGAAUGAAUGACUGAAUAAUAAAACGUAAACCAAGAUUGAAGAUGUAUUUCUUCAUCAAG